rnacentral:rRNA from 1 species
GGCAAAUCCGGAAAAUCAAGGCUGAGGCGUGAUGACGAGGCACUACGGUGCUGAAGCAACAAAUGCCCUGCUUCCAGGAAAAGCCUCUAAGCAUCAGGUAACAUCAAAUCGUACCCCAAACCGACACAGGUGGUCAGGUAGAGAAUACCAAGGCGCUUGAGAGAACUCGGGUGAAGGAACUAGGCAAAAUGGUGCCGUAACUUCGGGAGAAGG